GCCUCGUUAGCGUAGUUGGAUUAUCGCAUCUGUUUAAUACACACGAUGCCUCAGUUCGUCUGAGUUUCUUACAACAGAAGGUCACUGGUUCGAGCCCAGUACGGGGCA
rfam:Sporisorium reilianum SRZ2 chromosome 17 complete DNA sequence